rnacentral:rRNA from 1 species
UACGUAGGGGCAAGCGUUGUCCGGAAUCAUUGGGCGUAAAGAGCGUGUAGGCGGCCAGGUAGGUCUGCUGUGAAAACUCGAGGCUUAACCUCGAGCUGUCGGCGGAAACCAUCUGGCUAGAGUCCGGAAGAGGAGAAUGGAAUUCCCGGUGUAGCGGUGAAAUGCGCAGAUAUCGGGAGGAACACCAAUUGCGAAGGCAGCUCGCUACACUAAUUAUUGACACUGAGGCACGAAAGCGUGGGGAUCAAACAGGAUUAGAUACCCCGAG